UGGGGAAUAUUGGACAAUGGGCGCAAGCCUGAUCCAGCCAUGCCGCGUGUGUGAAGAAGGCCUUUUGGUUGUAAAGCACUUUAAGCGAGGAGGAGGCUACUUGGAUUAAUACUCUAGGAUAGUGGACGUUACUCGCAGAAUAAGCACCGGCUAACUCUGUGCCAGCAGCCGCGGUAAUACAGAGGGUGCGAGCGUUAAUCGGAUUUACUGGGCGUAAAGCGUGCGUAGGCGGCUUCUUAAGUCGGAUGUGAAAUCCCUGAGCUUAACUAGGAAUUGCAUUCGAUACUGGGAAGCUAGAGUAUGGGAGAGGAUGGUAGAAUUCCAGGUGUAGCGGUGAAAUGCGUAGAGAUCUGGAGGAAUACCGAUGGCGAAGGCAGCCAUCUGGCCUAAUACUGACGCUGAGGUACGAAAGCAUGGGGAGCAAACAGG
rnacentral:rRNA from 1 species